ensembl:lncRNA
AUGAAGCAAUUUGGAAAGGUGCUGCUUGUUGGAGUGAUGCCCCCCUGGAGGAAGAUGAACUCUCAUGCAAAUAAGGCAACAACGGAGUCACUAAAGCUAAUAAUGGCCAGUUGCUUCGGCAUCUCAUUUGUGACCCAACAUCUUCUGCCACUUACAUCAGAUUGAACCCAGAGGUACUGUGAGACCUAUAGUGGGACUAUCCUCAUUUUCCACAGCCGGAGAGACCAGCAUGAACUGACCCUUCAGGCCCAUGGUUUGACUCCCUUAUAUGGAGAAAUCAGAUGCAGAUGCAAGUGCACACAUCUGUAA